UAUGCAUCUUGUGGUAAAUGGAAAGAUGCUGCUGAGAUAAGAAUACUGAUGAAAGGAGCUAGCCUUAAGAAAGAUGGUGGGUACAGCUGGUUACAAUUGAAGGGACAAUAUCAUGCCUUCUUUUCUUGGCAUUUGAUAUUUUCCAAAAAGAAGAAUGAAAAUGAGAGGAUAGUAUAACGCAGCAGCAAUUGGAACUUCAGAACUCCGAGAGUCGAGUAAAUUGAGCUAAUGUCUCCAGAAUGGUCCUAUACAAUGGAUCAAUCUCGGUUGUCAAAUAUUUCAGGGACAACAUACUGGAUGGCACUGUUUUUUUCACCCUCCUUUUCGGGAGCGAGCUGUUCGAGGACUACAUUGGUCAUCUUGCAAUGGCAACAAUGGCCUCCACUGAGAUGACAACCGACAACGACAACCCCUAAAAGCUUCAGGACAGGCUCAAGAAUGUACAAAGGGAAAGAGAGGAAAAGCUAGCUAGAUUCCUCAAGGAAUUCCUCUCCCAAUAUGUUCGUGGUGACAAAGAAGGAUUCGCUAAUCGUGUGGAAGCUGAGGCGAAGAGACUCUCCAGCACUUGUCAAUCUUCUGAUCCUAUUAAACCAUUUGUACUUUUAUGUUGUCUAGCAUUCAACUCACUGUGAAAAAAUGUCCAUUUGCAGCAUCUGGACUGGAUAUUCUUCGCACCAUCGGAUAUAUGUAUUCUUGACAUGCAGCAAAGGAGCUAACAUCAAAUGGUGUGUGGACAGGAAAUAAACAUUAACAACAGCAAAAGAAGCCACAUUCAGAAUAUAGUUUAUGUAAAAGAUGAAUUGUUUGUAGAUAAAAAUCCCAUCAUACAGAAACUAAGUAAUAUGAAAGCUCCCUUGAUAACACGCUACAUUGGUUAAGCUAGAUCCCACAAUGCAUAUACUACCAGCGUAUAUAAGAGGUGGUCCUGAAAAUUUGACAACUUUGUAGUUCUGAAUGGACAAGCAUGAUUUGCGCUUUCUGAUCCAAAAAGCUUCGCACCAUCGGAUAUGUGUAUUCUUGACAUGCAGCAAAGGAGCUUGGCAAGAAGGCCAUGUACCUAGGAGUGCCAUUCGUGGCUGAGUGGGUCAGGAACAAGGGGCACCUAUGGAAGUCACAGAUCACAGCAGCAAAAGGAGCCCUGCAACUUUUGCAGUUGCAAGAGGACGCCUGCCG